AAAGCCAAGAAAAUGCGGCAAAUAAACAAGCAAAGAACGAAAAUAAAGUCAUGAAAAUGGGCCAACUAAGAUCCGAUAACAGGUACAUAGAACACAUGAUCUCCCACAUACAAACCUUCUCUCUCCCUUCGUUUUUUUUUUUUUUUUUUUUUUUUUUU
rnacentral:ribozyme from 13 species